rnacentral:lncRNA from 1 species
CCCCUCCUCUCACCAAAAUCUGGAAGUUUCCCAGAGACACUGAUUUGGAUGAGAGCAAGCAAUCUGGGCAGGAUUUUCUCUGGUCUUGCUAGCAGGCCCACUGAUUUGGCAGAUGGAAAGAAGGAAGCUUCAUUGGGCAAUCUCUAAAACACAAGGAAACUUAGAUGAAGAGAAAAUCAAGACCUAUAAAAGAGGAGAGACUGUUCCCAAUGGACAUCAAGGAGAAAAGAGGUACCUCUUGAACCCUUAAGUCACACACAAAAGAACAUCUGGAAGAAAAACUCAAGAUCAACUAGAGGCAGCCCCAGCAUGGGACAGAAGAUGAUGCUAUUGGUAACAGCUGCCACAUCCUCAUCCCCACUGCUCAACUAUCAUGCCUUCCUUAUUGUGGUAACAUUAGGACUAGUUCCAGAAAGAGAUUCUGGGCUCAAGUUGGAGAGAAGCACCCAGAGGGGAUCUCGUCUAGACUGAGUCACAGUCUUUUAAACUCAGUGCUGCCCAGCUGUAGAUGAAAUCCUAUAUGAAGUCAAAUCAGUCUGUCUUUCUUUCUGUCACUGUAGCUUAUAUACAUUUUGCUGCAAAAAUAAUACAAUCUAUUUUCUUUGAAAAAAUUCAUUUCUUUGUUAUUUUUUUACUACUUACAAAGCCUAAUUAGGUUCUGAAGCAGUUUUUGCAAAACCC